rnacentral:rRNA from 1 species
GAUUAACGCUAGCGGCAGGCCUAAUACAUGCAAGUCGUACGGUAACCUCGGUAGCAAUACUGAGAACGAGUGGCGCACGGGUGCGUAACACGUAUGCAAUCUACCUUUGACUGGGGAAUAGCUCACCGAAAGGUGAAUUAAUACCGCAUAAUGCUUUGAAAGGACAUCCUUUUAAAGCCAAACCUCCGGGGGUCAAAGAUGAGCAUGCGUCCGAUUAGCUAGUUGGCGGAGUAACAGCCCACCAAGGCAACGAUCGGUAGGGGAUCUGAGAGGAUGAUCCCCCACACU